rnacentral:rRNA from 1 species
AGUGAACGCUGGCGGUAGGCCUAACACAUGCAAGUCGAACGGCAGCACAGUAAGAGCUUGCUCUUACGGGUGGCGAGUGGCGGACGGGUGAGGAAUACAUCGGAAUCUACUUUUUCGUGGGGGAUAACGUAGGGAAACUUACGCUAAUACCGCAUACGACCUACGGGUGAAAGCAGGGGAUCUUCGGACCUUGCGCGAUUGAAUGAGCCGAUGUCGGAUUAGCUAGUUGGCGGGGUAAAGGCCCACAAAGGCGACGAUCCGUAGCUGGUCUGAGAGGAUGAUCCGCCACACUGGAACUGAGACACGGUCCAGACUCCUACGGGAGGCAGCAGUGGGGAAUAUUGGACGAUGGGCGCAAGCCUGAUCCAGCCAUACCGCGUGGGUCAAGAAGGCCUUCGGGUUGUAAAGCCCUUUUGUUGGGAAAGAAGAGCAGCAGGUUAAUACCCCGCUGUUCUGACGGUACCCAAAGAAUAAGCACCGGCUAACUUCGUG